rnacentral:rRNA from 1 species
UACGUAGGGUCCGAGCGUUGUCCGGAAUUAUUGGGCGUAAAGAGCUCGUAGGCGGUCUGUCGCGUCUGGUGUGAAAACUCGGGGCUUAACCCCGGGCCUGCAUCGGGUACGGGCAGACUAGAGUGCGGUAGGGGAGACUGGAAUUCCUGGUGUAGCGGUGAAAUGCGCAGAUAUCAGGAGGAACACCGGUGGCGAAGGCGGGUCUCUGGGCCUUACCUGACGCUGAGGAGCGAAAGCGUGGGGAGCGAACAGG